GGAAGCGAAACGAGCCACAUUAGCUCCGGACUCUGCAGCCAAAGUCUCGGCGAUGAGAGCGACGUCCUCAAUUCGACCAUCCUCAGCUAGCUUCGAGGCAAAAUCAGCGUAAUACUCAAGCGAGCCAUCUGGAAUCCAUCUUACGACAUUGGAGAAGUGGCUAGAGAGAGAAUGAGUCGCGGAGACUGAAGCAGGAGAAGGUGAAUGUUGCUGCGGUAGUGACGGAAGUAGCUUGGUGAAAGAAGAAUUGGAUUUAGUUUUCCGGUUGGACUCUGGUGCUGUGGCGUAACAGCGACGGUGGUGAUGGUGAGGAUUGGUUAUGGCGGAGGAGGAGCCAAAGACAAUAACAAAGUCUCUCAUUCCUCGCCAACGGUUAGGAUCAUCAUCGUAUCAUCAUUGUGGCUCAGUUUUUCUGGUUUUCUAAUUUCAUGUAAAUCAAAUGGAUUGGAUUUGAAAGGCUAUUUUUACAACUUCCAC